CAGUAGCCGCGGUAAUACGAAGGGGAGCUAGCGUUAUUCGGAAUUACUGGGCGUAAAGCGCACGUAGGCGGCUUUGUAAGUUAGAGGUGAAAGCCCAGAGCUCAACUCUGGAAUUGCCUUUAAGACUGCAUCGCUUGAAUCCAGGAGAGGUGAGUGGAAUUCCGAGUGUAGAGGUGAAAUUCGUAGAUAUUCGGAAGAACACCAGUGGCGAAGGCGGCUCACUGGACUGGUAUUGACGCUGAGGUGCGAAAGCGUGGGGAGCAAACAGGAUUAGAUACCCCGGUAGUCCCUGUCUCUUAUU
rnacentral:rRNA from 1 species